rnacentral:rRNA from 1 species
AUGAAGCCGGAAUUGCUAGUAAUGGCAGGUCAGCAUACUGCCGUGAAUACGUUCCCGGGCCUUGUACACACCGCCCGUCACACCAUGAGAGUUGGGAAUACCCGAAGCCUGUGAGCCAACUUUUAAAGAGGCAGCAGUCGAAGGUAGAAUCAAUGAUUGGGGUGAAGUCGUAACAAGGUACC